AUCAACCACAUAUACAAGUCAUACCUAAACCGAUCACAUGUUGCCUGCGGCAAAAUAUUUAAAUCAUUGUAAAGCCAGAAGUAUUACUUCGAAAUCAUACCCUAUCAUUCUUCGCCCAUGGUAGUGCUCUAUUGUUCUAUAGUGACUUGGGCAUGGAAUGAUGCCCUUAGGGCCAGUUUGUUCCAAGGGACUAGUAGCGAAUGGAUAUCCCAUAAGAUAUGUUAUCUCAACUGACAAAUGUGAUCAGAUUAAUAAUACCACACCCGGCAUGGUCUUUGUAUCCCACACUUUGCAAGUUUAUACAUCCGAUGGAUGUUUAGUCCAGGGCAAAAUCUUUUGAGGAACCCUGAAUGCAUAGUUGCUUUGGAUAUGGAGUUCAAUCCGAUGCCCAUAUCCGGUCAAACAAACAGCCCCUUAUUCUACUCUUGAAGAGUUGUGUUGAAGUGUCAUACAUGCUUCCUGAUCUCUGAUUUCUUAAUCAACGUGCUUAACGAUUUUUUUUUUUGUUUGCUAUGAAUUGAACCUUGAACGACAAUCUAUCUUGAUUGAUUAGGGUUAGGCACAACUAAUUAAGUAUCUCGUGAUUAAGUACAGGUAGGCAUGAUUAAGCAAGUGUCAUAAACUAUCCCCAGCUGUGGUUGAUUAAUCUUAACCACAGGCUAACUAUUGUUAAUCAAGGUAAUCAGAGUAAAUUGGUGAAGCUCCUCCGUGCCUCGUGACACCACCUAAAUGGCUAACAUGUUUAGAUGGCCAUUAGCUAUGGGUGUCUAUGAGUUAGGUUAGAUAGAGAUUUAUGUAGAUGCCCAUUAGCUAUGGUUUGUGUUCGAUAAAGAGUUAUAUAUAUAAUUUCCACAAAUAAAGAAAGGGUAUGACACAAACAAGUAGCUCACAUGAAAUCGGAAAUCUCAAGAAAAUAAGAGGGGGAAAAUGGUGAAAGGAAAUGGCGGAGAAAGAAGAGAAACUUCACAUAACAAUCACAGAGAGGGUGCCUUGCUAAUGAUAUGCAAGAUAUAAAGCAUCGUGUCGUGUUUCAUAUCUUACAGCAAAGCUUGGAUGUAUCAAUUCUCAAGCACAUCUCACUUCUUGAGAAUUCUAAACUUAAACCUAGAACUAGACUUCUAACAUUUCAUAACCUUGGUGCAAAUCGUCUAACCAUGAGCCACCUGAAAGUCUGAAACUAUCUAAUGCCAUUUUUGCGACCAUUUUGUGGUAAUUCCCCGUGACAAAUAGGAAUAUUGGAGCUUUAAUUGUCUAGUUUUUGGUCCACUUGGAGUUUGGAAUUGUCUAGGAGGUCUUAUUGCUGAAAUAGCAAUUAGGUGUCAUUGCUGGAAAAAACUACAGAAUGUGAAAAUGAGGUCAUUUUGUAGCUAAAAUCCGUUCACAAACAAGUUUUGACUGCAAUUGGUAGGGAUGUGCAAAAAAUCCGCCAACCCUCAAAACUGACCCAACCCGUGCCAAUCGGCGCCGAAAAUCAAUGGUUGAAAUUAUAAGCGGUUGGGUUGGAAGGGUGAAACACAAAUUUUCAAUGGGUUGGAUUGGCUGCAGGUAAAACAUCUCUAACCCGCCUUCUACCCGAUCCCACCUGCUAUAUUUACAUAGUCAACAACAAUCAAUAGAAUACAAUCAUGCCAAUGUUAAGAGCACAGCCUACCACAGUGUGUUUACCCCAACUAAUUCUAUGAAAUAAUCAAGACCUACCCCACCUCUUUUAAUGUGUCCAUCUUUUUCUUAGAGCACACUGUUGAUGACCCACUGCCUAAGAUUCUAGGAAGCUUAUAGCCACUGGCCGCUGCAACACAAAAAUAUAGAACAUGUUGUCUAUGGAUGUCAAUGCAUUAUUACUAUUUUUAUACAACAAUGAAAGUACGUUUAAGUCAUAAUUUAUGUUUUUCUUUAGAAGAGAUUUUCUUUUUGAGCUUUUAUUAAAUAGGUUGUGAACAACCAGAGACUCAGGAAAAAAAAACCAAAUGAUUAAGUAAUUCAAACCCCGCCUGCUGAGUCGAAACCGCCAAGAAACUCAACCAACCCGCUGGUUUUGAAAGUUGGUGGGUUGGCUGCGGGUUAAAAAUUUGUGAACCUUCCAAAGACAGGUUGGUCGGAAAAUGCACAUUAAACCCUCCCAACCCGACCCAUGCAUAUGCUUGUACUGUUAUAUCGACCUAGGUUCUAAUCCAAUAAUCGGUGCAUCGUUUCGAGUUUCCAAAUGCAAGUUACACCUAAAACACUACAGGGUGCCAGUGCUGUCUGCCACCACCAACAAGGCCAUUUUUGAAAUCCCCCGUGACUGUUUUCUGAACCCCCACCGUUAUUUUUCACGUAAUUCUAGUUUGCUCAGCUCCCAACCUGCAGAGAGACUUGCAAGGGCUUGCAUUACCAAAAACCUUUUUUUUUUUUUUGAUAAGUAAUCCAUUACCAAAAACUGGAUCACCAUUUUGAACUUUCUACAGGUUUCUAUGACGAAAAGAUCAGAGGUAGUUAACUUGUCCAUGCAGAUAAUCACAUAUACUAACCCAAUAACCCAUCAUCAGAAAUUCCAAUCUCGUGUUACUUACAAAUAAAGUUAAUUAAAGAUUAAGAGGAGCUUAAAAUCAAUUUGAAUAAUUCAAAUAUUUAGACUUCAAAUUAGUACUGUAACCGCCAUAGCAGUAUAAUCUCUCAUGUUCGAGCAGUGGCGACGUUUGCAGCUUUUUGUAAAAUUCCUACCGCCUACAGAAGCUGACAUAUCCAUUCCCUUGUACCGGCCAAUGUGAAGGGAUGAAGCUUGAACCUGAAUUCUGAUGGCUGCUGAUUUUGUUUGCACUUUCACCAUUGAUUGUAGCUUUAAUUAUUAUUUUUCAUUUCAUUGUUCUGUUUAGUAAUUCUAUGUGGUUGGGGUUAUAUACAGAAUUAUGGUUUGUGUUGCUGUUUCAUGUAAAUGUAGUUCCUUUUAUGCCAAAAAGAAAACUUGAAUUAACACCGUUUCGUGUGUGGUACCAUGAAGAUGAAGUGUGUUAGUGUCGUCUCAAUCUCAAGCUAAUUUGCUAAUGGAAAUUUGUCACUAACCAUGUAUAGGUACUUGCUAGGCAUGACAUCCAUUCACCGUAGAUAUAUAUUUUUAUAACAUUCCUUGGGCAUUUUGUGUCUUCUGCUGUGAUUCAGAUAUCAAAUAUUUUGAACAUUUCUCAGCCUAUUGUGUCCACCAUUAUUUGAAAAGCCUCGUGAUGGCUUCUCCGUGUGGUUGCUAAUUAGCUAACUCCCAUGAGUAUAAACAGGCACCAAAAGAACAUAUUUAACAUGAAUUGGGAGAAGAAAAGAGGAUGAAUGCACUUACAGUUGUAUUCCGUCCAUCCAAUGACUUGAUUCUCAAGAUCAUAUAAGACCAACUUAUUUGAGAGUACCAAAUCUGCAGAAUUGAAGUAAAUUCAGGCUUCAGAAUAACAAAGACAACUCAGUCUAGAAGCAAUAGCAUCAACAACCAGUUGGAUCGAGUUCAACCACAUUUACAGCCAAAACUAAAUCUAGACAUUCAGACAGAAAACAUAAAAUUAUAUAUGACAACAAAUUUUGUAAAACCACAAGAUGAGUAACAGCUAUUGAUCAUGUAAACUACUCUAAAACUAGAAAAAUAUGACCUUCAGAACCUAACACCAAAACAUUAGAUUGCGGCGUAUUAAAAGGCAUGCGCCUCACACACCUAGGCGCUGAGGCGCAGACGGCCUUGAAUACCCUAAGGCGAGGUACAGCUCUUGAAGCGCACUUGACGCGCUCACCUUGCCUAAUUUUUCCAGAUAUGUUUAAGAUUCCAUAUCAUCCAUGGAUUUAUAAAGUAUUACAGGCUCAGAUGCACUCAAUUAAAUCCUCCAAAUUAAAGAGGCUUACAUCUUUAACCCCAGCAGUUACAAAUCAUUACAGAUCCUGGAGGAAGGGGUGUUUUGAACUGGGAAAUCAGUAAGGUAUGCUCUGUUUUCUCUACAUCGAUUUUCUUCUAAUUGGUACUUCUUCUGUGAUCUUCCCUAUUUAUUCUUCUCUUUUCUUACGAUGGUUUGGUCUGUUGAAAACAAUGACAAUUUUGAUGAUGCUGGAGAAUCCAGUCCCCGGGCUAAGAAGCCUUCUGCUCGCUGAAGUAACUCCAUGUCUAUCAAGUCUAUUCAGUCCAAGCCCAAGAAACCCAUGAACAUAGGGCCUCUUAUGUGUCACUACUCUUAUGACCC